rnacentral:rRNA from 1 species
CAGUAGCCACGGGAAUACGUAGGGUGCGAGCGUUAAUCGGAACUACUGGGCGUAAAGCGUGCGCAGGCGGUUUUGUAAGACAGGCGCGAAAUCCCCGGGCUCAACCUGGGAAUGGCGCUUGUGACUGCAAAGCUAGAGUGCGGCAGAGGGGGAUGGAAUUCCGCGUGUAGCAGCGAAAUGCGUAGAUAUGCGGAGGAACACCGAUGGCGAAGGCAAUCCCCUGGGCCUGCACUGACGCUCAUGCACGAAAGCGUGGGGAGCGAACAGGAUUAGAUACCCCAGUAGUCCCUGUCUCUUAUAC